GCCAAAAAUCUAGCCCCCCCCCCCCCAUUACUUAGAAACACUAACCUACUUAUUACAAUAAAACAAAGCAUUUUUACAAUUAAGUAUAGGAGAUAAAAAAAUUAACUGGAGCUAUAAAAUUAGUACCGCAAGGGAAAGCUGAAAUAUAAGUGAAAUAAACGUUUAAGCAUAAAAAAGUAGAGACUUUCCCUUGUACCUUUUGCAUCAUGGUUUAACUAGUCCUAAUCAAGCAGAAAGAAUUUAAGUUUGACUCCCCGAAACUAAGUGAGCUACUCCAAGGCAGCCUUAUGAGCCAACCCGUCUCUGUUGCAAAAGAGUGGGAAGACCUUAGAGUAGAGGUGAUAGACCAAACGAACUUAGUGAUAGCUGGUUACUUGAUAAAAGAAUUUUAGUUCUACCUAAAGCCCCCAAUAAAGUUCAAUAAACUAAUAUUUAUGCUUUAGAGUUAUUCAAUUAAGGUACAGCCUAUUUGAAUGAGGAAACAACCUAGACUAAUGGGUUAAAUUUUUACAGUGUACCAAAGUGGGCCUAAAAGCAGCCACCUUCAACAAUAGCGUCAAAGCUUUACUACACAAGUAUAUUUAAUUUUAUAAACCAACCUAAACCCUUUAUUUUCAUCAAGUAAUUCUAUACACCUAUAGAACAUAAAAUGUUAAAACUAGUAACAAGAAGUAGACCCUUCUCUUAAAUGUAAGUGUAAGCCAGAAAGGAUAAACCACUGUCAACUAACACUAAUGAUUUUUAAUUAGCAACACCACAAGAAAACCCUAAUAAAACAAAUGUUAAACUAACACAAGAACAUUUCAAGAAAGAUUAAAAGAAAAAGAAGGAACUCGGCAAAUACCAACCCCGCCUGUUUACCAAAAACAUCGCCUCUUGACAAACAUAAGAGGUCCAGCCUGCCCAGUGACCCAGUUCAACGGCCGCGGUAUCCUAACCGUGCGAAGGUAGCGUAAUCACUUGUUCUUUAAAUGAGGACUAGUAUGAAUGGCAUCACGAGGGUUACACUGUCUCCUUUUUUUAAUCAGUAAAACUAAUCUUCCCGUGAAGAAGCGGGAAUAUUACUAUAAGACGAGAAGACCCCAUGGAGCUUUAAACAAAUUAACACUUGCUGCCUAAGAUAACUUUUCCAGAAACACAACACACAGCAUAGCAUGAUGAUUAAUAGUUUUCGAUUGGGGUGAUCACGGAGUAAAAAAUAACCUCCAUGCCGAAAGGGCUCCUCCCUGAGCAAAAAGCUACGACUUUAAGCACUAAAAAACUAACGUAUAUUGACCCAAUACUUUGAUCAACGAACCAAGUUACCCUAGGGAUAACAGCGCAAUCCACUUCAAGAGCCCCUAUCGACAAGUGGGUUUACGACCUCGAUGUUGGAUCAGGGUAUCCUAGUGGUGCAGCCGCUACUAACGGUUCGUUUGUUCAACGAUUAAAACCCU
rnacentral:rRNA from 1 species